rnacentral:rRNA from 1 species
UACGUAGGGUGCGAGCGUUAAUCGGAAUUACUGGGCGUAAAGCGUGCGCAGGCGGCUUUGUAAGCCAGAUGUGAAAUCCCCGGGCUUAACCUGGGAAUGGCAUUUGGGACUGCAAGGCUGGAGUUUGGCAGAGGAGACUGGAAUUCCUGGUGUAGCAGUGAAAUGCGUAGAUAUCAGGAGGAAUACCGAUGGCGAAGGCAGGUCUCUGGGCUAUAACUGACGCUCAUGCACGAAAGCGUGGGAAGCAAACAGG